UACGAAGGGGGCGAGCGUUGUUCGGAGUUACUGGGCGUAAAGGGCGCGUAGGCGGCGCUCCAAGUUAGGCGUGAAAGCCCCGGGCUCAACCUGGGAAUUGCGCUUAAGACUGGAGUGCUCGAGUGCGGAAGAGGCGAGUGGAAUUCCCAGUGUAGAGGUGAAAUUCGUAGAUAUUGGGAAGAACACCAGUGGCGAAGGCGGCUCACUGGUCCGCAACUGACGCUGAGGCGCGAAAGCGUGGGGAGCAAACAGG
rnacentral:rRNA from 1 species